UGGGGAAUUUUGGACAAUGGGCGCAAGCCUGAUCCAGCCAUGCCGCGUGCGGGAAGAAGGCCUUCGGGUUGUAAACCGCUUUUGUCAGGGAAGAAAUCUUCUGAGUUAAUACCUCGGGAGGAUGACGGUACCUGAAGAAUAAGCACCGGCUAACUACGUGCCAGCAGCCGCGGUAAUACGUAGGGUGCAAGCGUUAAUCGGAAUUACUGGGCGUAAAGCGUGCGCAGGCGGUUUUGUAAGACAGAGGUGAAAUCCCCGGGCUCAACCUGGGAACUGCCUUUGUGACUGCAAGGCUUGAGUGCGGCAGAGGGGGAUGGAAUUCCGCGUGUAGCAGUGAAAUGCGUAGAUAUGCGGAGGAACACCGAUGGCGAAGGCAAUCCCCUGGGCCUGCACUGACGCUCAUGCACGAAAGCGUGGGGAGCAAAACAGGAUUAGAUACCCUGGUAGUCCACGCCCUAAACGAUGUCAACUGGUUGUUGGGAAGGUUCCUUCUCAGUAACGUAGCUAACGCGUGAAGUUGACCGCCUGGGGAGUACGGCCGCAAGGUUGAAACUUAAAGGAAUUGACGGGGUCAUAGC
rnacentral:rRNA from 1 species